AUUCAGCGUUUGGGUCAAGAUGAAGGCGGGUUCUGGACAGACGUACCCAGUCAGGGAAUGUUUACUUUGCCUCCACUUCUGUUCCUCCCCGCCCUGGUGCUGCUCCGGGUCACAUACUCGUCCUGAGCCGGCUUCAGCCUCUCCGCGCAGAAGUCUCCCGGAGCCGACUUCUGAGAGUCGAGUACUCCUAUGUGAAGACUACCAAGCUCGUGUUCAAGGGAACCAAGGCGAAGAGUAAGAAGAAAAAGAACAAAGAUAAGAAAAGAAAAAGAGAAGAAGAUGAAGAAACCCAGCUUGAUAUGUUGGAAUCUGGUGGACAGUAACAAACUUUGGUGAAAUUUCAGGAACCAUAGCCAUUGAAAUGGAUGAGGGAACCUAUAUACAUGCACUCGAUAAUGGUCUUUUUACCCUGGGAGCUCCACACAAAGAAGUUGAUGAGGGCCCUAGUCCUCCAGAGCAGUUUUCGGCUGUCAAAUUAUCUGAUUCCAGAAUCACCCUGAAAUCUGGCUAUGGAAAAUAUCUUGGUAUAAAUUCAGAUGAACUUGUUGUUGGGCGUUCAGAUGCAAUUGGACCAAGAGAACAAUGGGAACCAGUCUUUAAAAUUGGGAAAAUGGCUUUGUCGACCUCAAAUAGCUGCUUUAUUAGAUACAGUGAAGCAGAGGACAUAGAAGCAAAAAGUAAAACAGCAGGAGAAGAAGAAAUGAUCAAGGCUCUCCUAAUCUCUGUCAGACCUUCACCUUUAUGACCUUGCCUUAUCUACCAGAACACAGAUCCCUCUUACUAAAGAUUAGAUCCUGUGCUGAAAGAGAAACCAAGAAAAAAGAUGACAUUCCAGAAGAAGACAAAGGAAAUAUAAAACAAUGUGAAAUCAAUUA
rnacentral:lncRNA from 1 species